rnacentral:rRNA from 1 species
UACGUAGGGAGCAAGCGUUGUCCGGAAUCAUUGGGCGUAAAGCGCGCGUAGGUGGCCCUGUAAGUCCGUUGUGAAAGUCAAAGGCUCAACCUUUGAAAGCCGAUGGAUACUGCAGGGCUAGAGUCCGGAAGAGGCGAGUGGAAUUCCUGGUGUAGCGGUGGAAUGCGCAGAUAUCAGGAGGAACACCAAUAGCGAAGGCAGCUCGCUGGGACGGUACUGACGCUAAGGCGCGAAAGCGUGGGGAGCAAACAGG